GGCUCAGAACGAACGCUGGCGGCAGGCUUAACACAUGCAAGUCGAACGCCCCGCAAGGGGAGUGGCAGACGGGUGAGUAACGCGUGGGAAUCUACCGUGCCCUGCGGAAUAGCUCCGGGAAACUGGAAUUAAUACCGCAUACGCCCUACGGGGGAAAGAUUUAUCGGGGUAUGAUGAGCCCGCGUUGGAUUAGCUAGUUGGUGGGGUAAAGGCCUACCAAGGCGACGAUCCAUAGCUGGUCUGAGAGGAUGAUCAGCCACAUUGGGACUGAGACACGGCCCAAACUCCUACGGGAGGCAGCAGUGGGGAAUAUUGGACAAUGGGCGCAAGCCUGAUCCAGCCAUGCCGCGUGAGUGAUGAAGGCCUUAGGGUUGUAAAGCUCUUCACCGGAGAAGAUAAUGAC
rnacentral:rRNA from 1 species